rnacentral:rRNA from 1 species
UACGUAGGGUGCAAGCGUUGUCCGGAAUCAUUGGGCGUAAAGAGCGUGUAGGCGGUCCGGUAAGUCCGCUGUGAAAGUCGGGGGCUCAACCCUCGAAUGCCGGUGGAUACUGUCGGGCUAGAGUGCGGAAGAAGGCGAGUGGAAUUCCGGGUGUAGUGGUGAAAUGGCGUAGAGAAUCCGGAGGAACACCAGUGGGCGAAGGCAGCCCCCUGGGAUAACACUGACG